GCACAACGCGAAGAACCUUACCUGGGUUUGACAUAUGCCGGAAGCAUUCAGAGAUGGGUGUGCCUUUUGGUCGGUUUACAGGUGGUGCAUGGCUGUCGUCAGCUCGUGUCGUGAGAUGUUGGGUUAAGUCCCGCAACGAGCGCAACCCUUGUCCUAUGUUGCCAGCGGGUUAUGCCGGGAACUCAUGGGAGACUGCCGGGGUCAACUCGGAGGAAGGUGGGGAUGACGUCAAGUCAUCAUGCCCCUUAUGUCCAGGGCUUCACGCAUGCUACAAUGGUUGGUACAGAGGGUUGCGAGCCUGUGAGGGUGAGCGAACCCUUAAAGCCAGUCUCAGUUCGGAUUGGGGUCUGCAACUCGACCCCAUGAAGUCGGAGUCGCUAGUAAUCGCAGAUCAGCAUUGCUGCGGUGAAUACGUUCCCGGGUCUUGUACACAC
rnacentral:rRNA from 1 species